GACGGGGGAUGCGAGCGUUAUCCGGAAUGAUUGGGCGUAAAGGGUCCGCAGGUGGCCCGGUCAGUCCGCUGUCAAAGCCUGGGGCUCAACCCUGGAGAGGCGGCGGAGACCACCGGGCUUGAGUCCGGUAGGGGCAGAGGGAAUUCCCGGUGGAGCAGUGAAAUGCGUAGAGAUCGGGAAGAACGCCAAGGGCGAAGGCACUCUGCUAGGCCUGAUUUCGCGACUGACACUCAGGGACGAGAGCCAGGGGAGCGAAUGGG
rnacentral:rRNA from 1 species